GGUUCAAGUGGCCUAGUGGUUAGAGCGUCCGCCUCGGAUGCGGGAGGUCGCGGGAAGCAUAUAUAUUAGUAUUCAUGGAUCAAUAAAUCCCACCAUUGAUCU